rnacentral:lncRNA from 1 species
CGGGUAAAAACGACAAAUCAAAAAAUUCAACUCUAUAUAUAACUAAUAUAGGACAAUGGUGUAGAUUAAAAAUUACACCACUCCAGACCCUUUUGUUUUCCACAUAAUUAAUAUUGCCAAUGAUUAACAAGUUCCGGGUCUAAUCCGAUACCGAUACCAAUAGUAUAUUCACCUGUUAGCUAUUACCUUAUCUGUACGUUCCGCAUUUGACAGGCGCACCACCAAACGGUGUAUUUAGGAUUUUGCUAUAUUAUUAUACACGGGUCAUAAUCAAAGGGCUGACACUACUAAAUUCAAUCAUUGUCAAAUUGUUCCCUAUUGUAGCUUUAUUCAGC